rnacentral:SRP_RNA from 1 species
AAUGAGGGGCCCCCGCAAUGGUGGCCCGUGAACCUGGUCAGGGGCGAAAGUCAGCAGCCAUAAACGGUUACCAUCAGGUGCGCGGGGUCUCUCAUUCGG